AGAUCAAUUGAGCCUGGGAGGUUGAGGUUGCAGUGAGCUGUGAUUGCACCACUGUACUCCAGCCUGGGCCACAGAG
rnacentral:snRNA from 1 species